GUAAUACUCUCUCCAUCCCAAAAUUCUUGUCUUAGAUUUGUCUAAAUACGGAUGUAUCAAGUCACAUUUUAGUAUUAGAUACAUCCGUAUCUAGACAAAUCUAAGACAAGAAUUUUGGACGGAGGGAGUAUUUG
rnacentral:pre_miRNA from 1 species